rnacentral:lncRNA from 1 species
AGCUCUCCGCAGUCUCUUGCAGGGAACCCCGUGGGUUUGGCAGCGCCCGGCGGUGCGCUCCCACCCGGCACUGCCGGAACGGCUGCGGCGGUGCGGGGUGAGCCGAGCGCGUCCUGCCCGGAGCAUCCCUCGUCCCUCUCCGGGUGCAGAGUUCAGCCCAGCCCGGACAGCCCGCUGCACCCAGCAGCCUUUAUUCCACCGAGGGAAAAAAAAAAAAAGAAGAAAUCAUCCAGGUGAUCUCAGAGCCGGGC